AUAUUACUUUGGAAAUAUAUAUACAAAAAUUAGAAUGAUGCAGAGAAGAUGAGCAUGGUCCCUGCACGAGGAUGACGUGCAAAUUCAUGAAGCAUUCUGUAUUUUA